rnacentral:lncRNA from 1 species
ACAUGUAAGUGUUGUUGAUGGCUGGUCUACAAGAAAGUUCAGUUCUAAAAAGAGGCCAGAGAAAAAAAAAGACACACAAAUUUUCUGGUUCCUCAUGUGAGAUGAAGCUUUUAAACUCUAUUGAACAGCUUGUAGAGCCUUUAGAAAGUCGCAAAUUUGCAAGAUUUUCUUUGCAGUAUACAGCAGUAGAAGAGAAGAGGUUGAAGAUGAGUGAUGCAAUGUUGUCUGCUUAUGAUAGAGAGCUUUACCAAUGUAAGCUAUUGCGCCAAUGGAGAAGAGGGCCCUUGAUAUUACUGGAUGUUGAGUCAUUGGAUAGGAAUUGCGGCACAUCUUGUACUGUAUAUGGAAUGCAUUAUGAUGGGAUUGUUUGUGAAGCUGCUGUCACAUGGAAUAUGCUCAUAGAUUGAUAGGUCCCAGCACAGUUAAUACAAGAAUAAAUAAAUAGUUUCUCUUCGGGUGAGAAAGUACCACAAACUUUGAAUAACAAAUGACUUCUUGACCUCCUCUUAACAACUGAUGGCUGCUUUAAAUAAGCAAGGCCACGUACAAGCAAGCAAACCGAAAUGAAAGGAAACUAGAAACGAAUAACUAGACACGUAAACAACACCUGCAAAUACACGUAAAAACCAAGCAUAACUGCAUGAAGAAAAGUGAUGUAAAACUUGCAACCAACUGAGGACCCAUUCAUAACUGGAGACCCAUUCACACGGAAAACUCUCAACUGCACGUCCCAGUCCCUUCUUCAUUAUUCUUCACGUGCAAGACCCACGAGACCCACUGCCUAUGUUGCAUGCAUGCUGCAUGCAAUGAUCUUUUACGUACAAGCUCAUCCCAAAUACUUGGGAUUCGACUUAUGGCUCCUUACAGAACGCCUUGGCCUAUCAAUACCUCCCCCAUCAAGUGGACCCUUGUCCUCAAGGUCCAGAUUUGGGAACAUCUCCUGGAGCGUGUUUGUUGGUUCCCACGUUGCUUCCUCUGCUGGAAGAUGCUUCCAGCGCACCAAGCCUUCUUCGACAAGUUGGGUUCCUUGCUUGAUCCAGCGGUAGUCUAAAAUAGCUUGAGGCUCCAAGAGAACCACUCCAUCGUCGGUGAAAGGUGGGAUCUCGGUUGGCUGGGUCUCAGCAAGUCCCCCGUUGUCUUGGUAUCGCUUAAGUAGUGACACGUGGAACACCGGGUGAACGCGUGCCUCUGCGGGGAGUUGUAAUUUGUAUGCGACUGGUCCGAUCUUUUCUAAAAUCUGGUAGGGUCCAUAAAAACGGCUAGCUAGUUUUUGAUGGACCCGUUUGAAGACCGUUUGCUGGCGGUAUGGGUGUAACUUCAAAAGUACCUGUUCGCCAACCUCGAACGAAAUGUCUCUUCUCUUCCUAUCUGCCAUCUUUUUCAUUCUAUUCACCGAUCGUUCUAAGUUGACCUUUAGUUGCCGUAACAGUUCAUCUCAAUUUAGGAGUUGCUGAUCCACUUCAUGGACCGGUGAAAGUCCGUCUAUGUACGGCGGAAUGGGGGGCGGUAAUCUUCCAUACAGUGCCUGAAAAGGGGUCAUCCCUGUCGAAAUAUGGUAAGUCGUAUUAUACCAGUAUUCCGCCCAAGGUAAAUAGCCGCUCCAUCUCCGUGGCCACUGAUGAACAAAACUAUGAAGAUAUUGUUCGACGAAGCGAUUGAUGACUUCCGUUUGGCCAUCCGUCUGCGGGUGGUAUGCAGAGCUAAGCUGUAGUUUGGAGCCCGACAUCGUGAAAAAUUCCUUCCAAAAGUUACUGAUGAAGAUUGGGUCCCGAUCACUAAUAAUUGAAUUGGGCAUGCCGUGAAGCUUGAAAACGCCUUCCACAAAUUUUUCGGCUACAGUUUUUGCAGUAAAAGGAUGACUUAAAGUAAGAAAAUGAGCGGACUUACUAAGUCUGUCGACCACUACCAUGAUGGUGUCCUUUCCUUGCGAAAUCGGUAGGCCCUCAAUAAAGUCUAAGGUGAUGUCGUCCCAUACUUGGCACGAGAUUGGCAACGGUUGAAGAAGCCCAGCCGGAGCUAAAGUCUCGGCUUUAUUUUCUGGCAGACCGCACAUCCCUUGACGUAGUCUUGGACUGAUCUGUGCAUUCCAGGCCAAUAGAACUGUUGCCCCAACUUCUUGAACGUACGUAGGACGCCCGAAUGACCCCCCACCUUGGUGUCAUGCAUUUCGUGUAACAGUUUGGCCCGUAAGGCGGCAACGUUCGGAACAAUGACCUUUCCUUUGUAUAGUAAUAACCCUUGGCGCCAUGUAUAUGAUCCUCCAGGUUGUUCCGUGGCCAUACGGACCUUCAACUGAAUGAACUGGUCUUCGUCUGCAGCUUUUUUUAUUUCCUCCCAUAAGCUAACCUGCGGAAAGAAAAUAUUGUGGAGAAUGGGACUGCCCUGUUUUCGAGAGAGAGCAUCAGCUGCGGAGUUCUCACGGCCCGGUUUGUAUUUAAUCUCGUAAUCAUAGCCCAAAAGCUUAGCAACCCAUUCUUGUUGUUCCGGAGUUGCUAUUCAUUGCUCUAGAAGAUAUUUGAGGCUACGUUGAUCAGUCUGAAUAUAGAAUUUUUGGCCUAGAAUGUAAGGCCGCCAGGUGCGUAUGGCUUCGACAAUAGCCAACAUCUCUUUGGCGUACGUCGACCAAGAUUUCUUGGUCACUCCGAGGGCUCGACUCAUGUAGGCCACUGGUUUGCCUUGUUGAGACAGGACUGCUCCAAUUCCUUCCCCAGAUGCGUCCGUUUCAAUAGUGAAAGCAUCAUUGAAGUUUGGCAUGGCUAAUAUAGGAGUGGUCGUCAUGGCCUGUUUGAGAGCAAGAAAGGCGGUUUCAGCUUCUCCGUGCCAUCCGAAUUGGCCUUUUUUGAGAAGAUUGGUGAGAGGCCGAGCUAUAAUGCCGUAAUCUUUGACGAACUUCCGGUAAUACCCUGUUAAACCUAGAAACCCACGUAGUUCCGAAAUGUUAGUAGGUCGAGGCCAAGCUACCAUAGCAGCAAUUUUAUUUUCAUCCACCUUCACGCCCUUUCUAGUGAUGAUAUGCCCCAAGUACUCCAAUUCUUGUUGUCCAAAUGCACACUUGCUAGCUUUAACAAAGAAUCUGUGUUGCCUUAGUAUCUCGAAGGUCUACCUUACAUGCACUAAAUGUUGAUCCCAAUCCGGACUAUAGACUAAAAUAUCAUCAAAGAAAACUAAUAUGAAUUUUCUAAGAUGACAUUGAAAGAUGGAGUUCAUGAUAGCUUGGAAUGUGGAAGGUGCAUUACAUAAGUCGAAUGGCAUAACCAAGUAUUCGUAAUGUCCAUUAUGUGUUCGGAAAGCAGUUUUAUGGAUAUCACUUGGUUUAACCCGUACCUGAUGGUAUCCCGCUCGCAGAUCAAGCUUGGUAAAAUAAGAAGCACCGUAGAGCUCAUCCAACAUAUCAUCCACGGUGGGAAUCGGAAAUCGAUCUUUAAUGGUUGCGGCGUUGAGUGCGCGAUAAUCUGUGCAAAAGCGCCAAUUCCCGUCUUUCUUUUUUACCAAUAAUACAGGUGAUGAGAAGGGGCUAGUGUUGGGUCGCACAAGCCCGGAUUGCAACAUAUCUUGGACCUGCUUCUCGAUCUCGUUCUUCUGAUAGUGCGCAUACCUGUAAGGCCGAACAUUAAUCGGUUCGGUGCCUUCCUUAAGGGUAAUGCUAUGGUCAACCUCCCGUGUUGGUGGUAAGCUCGAGGGCUCUGUGAACAAAUCUGAGAAUUCCUGCAAUAUCUCCCGCAUGCUUGAAUGAAUAUUUUGUGGUUCCGUAUGGGCAACUUGUAGGCAUAGAGCAAAUUGAGCAUGGCUAGGACGAAUUUCUUUAGUCAACUCUUCGAUUGAUGCCGCUUGGAUAUGUUGCCCGUCGAUGCCUACCAAUUUCUUGGUCUGGUUUUCCCACAUGAAUUCCAUGGUUAACUCCCUCCAAUCACACACCACAGAACCAAGUAGCUCAAGCCAUUGAAUUCCCAAAACUAUGUCCAACCCUGUGAGAGGUAAGGAAUAAAGGGUUAAAGAAAAAAUGGUGCCCUGCAAAUUGAUUUGUACCUCUUCAAACCUCCCUUGGCAUCUUAGAUUUUCUCCAUUAGCCACUCGGACCGUGAAAAUUUCCGUAGGCACCACUGGUAGAUGCAGCAGAUUGGCCAUACGCUCACUAAUGAAGUUGUGAGUUGAUCCGCUAUCGAUUAAAACGACGACGUCGUGGGCACCGAUUCUAGCAGCGAUCCGCAUGGUUUUGGGCACAGUCCAUCCCAUAAGUGCAUGUAGUGUAAUUUCGGGUCCAGGAGAUCCUUCAUGAUUCUGUCCAGCUGGCUGUUCUUCGGUGAUCUCGUCACACAACAGGUCGUCGUUAUCCCCGUAACCUUCCAACAGGAGUAUCCGUGGUCCCAGACAUUUGUGUCCUGCAGUAAAACGAUCAUUACAAUUGAAACAUAAGUUUUGGGCUCGUCUCCGCUGCAUUUCUUCCCAAGAAAGUCGCCGCACAGGAGCGGCAGGGGCUGAUGGUGUUGCUAGUUGAGUAGGGGGAAGAGUUAGAGGAACUCGCGUUGGUGGUGCAAGCCUUCCAAACCUCCUUUGUCUAGCAAGUUGAUCAUCCUUCAUUCUUGCUAAACUGAUGGCUUCUUUUAAUGUCUGGGGCUUAAACAUCCGUAUACCAUCCGAGAUGUCCGGCCUUAAGCCACCCAUAAAAGUCCCUAUAAGAGCUCUUUGCGUCCAUCCCUGUACUCGAUUGCCCAAGUGCUCGAAUUCCCUUUGGUAAUCACGCAAAGAACCCACCUGCCUUAUCCGCGAAAGGGCUUCAUCAAAAUCUUCGCACUCCGAAGGCCCAAAACGAGCCCAGAGUUCAUCUUCAAAAUUCGUCCACGAGAGAACUCGUCCUUCUUCUUGGAACGUCCUGCGAAUCCACUGCCACCAUUGGUUGGCUUCUCCUUCCAAGUGAUAAGAGGCUAAGGAGACUUUAUGGGCUUCGAGAGUAUUUUGGAACUCAAAAAAUUGGUUCACACGAUUGAACCACUCUGUCGGAUCAUCUCCUGAAAAUCGAGGAAAUUCAAGCUUUGCUGUUUUGGAAGAUACCACCAAUCGUCCCCCACCAUUGCCUUCUCGGUUGGUGAUGCUGCCCAGGAUGGGAUUUUCCGGAUUUGCAAGCAAGACAUCGGAGAGGCGGUUGAGAUUUUCUUCCACCUGACGAAGCCUAUCGGCCAUGCCGAGCUCCAUCCUGUGUAGCCCAUCUUCCAACUGCUCAAUACGCUCUUUAUUGGUUCCCAUAAGCUAACCUGGCUCUGAUACCAAUGAUAGGUCCCAGCACAGUUAAUACAAGAAUAAAUAAAUAGUUUCUCUUCGAGUGAGAAAGUACCACAAACUUUGAAUAACAAAUGACUUCUUGACCUCCUCUUAACAACUGAUGGCUGCUUUAAAUAAGCAAGGCCACGUACAAGCAAGCAAACCGAAAUGAAAGGAAACUAGAAAUGAAUAACUGGACACGUAAACAACACCUGCAAAUACACG